UGUAUGUUUUCCUUGUCUCUAUUUUUUUCUAUUUGAUACAUUAGUUGUUGCAUGAAUAUAUUGCUGAAUUUACUGUUUUUUUGUUUUGUUUAUAAUGACUUAGUUAAGUUUAAGGUUCUACUUUAGAAUCUUGUCAAUUCCAUUAACUAAUUGUGAUGAAUGGAUUGCUUUGGUUUGAAGUAGUUACAAGUCAAUUUGAUUAAGGAGGUCAAUUAGACAAUAAUAAGAUGCAAUGGAAUAUCUUAGACACCAUUAUAAUUUAAUUUUAACUUGUACCAUAAGGUAUAUGUUUUCCGUCCUCGUAAAAAAUCACGAUCUUUCAAGUUUAGUCCAUAUUUCGAAAACUUAUCAAAAAAAGAUAGCAUGAUAAGAAGUGAGAAAUAGCAAAUAUAAAGCAAAACAAGGACUAAACUUAAAAGGUUAGAAUUUUAUAGAGACUAAAAACAUGUUUAACCAUCACAUACUCAAUACAAGGGGUUUGGUUUGUGAUGUUAAUUCCCAAGUCUCACUUAACCAAAUGUAGACUUAACUUGAAUUCACCUUGGAUCCUCUCCAGACUCAUCAGCCAGAGGUCGGCUGUUGGAUAAAUCCAUCUGUCGACCUCUGAUUGCAGACAUAGGAGAGGAUCCAGACCCACUUUAAUGGGAUGCUAAUUAAUGCAAGUCUCAAGCACAUGGCUCAAUCAUGUAAAACCAAAUUAGAUAACUGAUUAAUUUGCUAAGUGUUUACUAGUUGGCCUGCUUGUUCCAUUAUAUAUAUGAUUUUCAUUGUUGAUGACUAAAAAUAAGAAUAUAAAUAAAUACAGGGAGCAGGUGCAGAAGGUGCUCCAAAGAGGUUAACCUUUGACGAAAUCCAAAGUAAAACAUACUUGGAAGUCAAAGGAACAGGAACAGCAAACCAAUGUCCAACCAUUGAUGGAGGAGUAGACUCAUUUGCCUUCAAAGCAGGAAAAUACAACGCCAAGAAAUUCUGCCUCGAACCAACUUCAUUCACAGUUAAAGCAGAAGGCGUAAGCAAAAACUCCCCACUCACAUUCCAAAACACCAAACUUAUGACACGUUUAACCUACACUCUUGAUGAGAUCGAAGGACCCUUCGAGGUUUCAUCAGACGGAACUGUCAAAUUCGAGGAGAAAGACGGAAUUGACUACGCUGCUGUCACCGUUCAGCUACCUGGUGGUGAGCGUGUGCCGUUCCUUUUCACCAUCAAGCAGUUAGUAGCAUCAGGGAAACCCGAUAGCUUCAGUGGCGAGUAUUUGGUACCAUCAUACAGAGGAAGCUCUUUCUUGGACCCAAAGGGAAGAGGUGCAUCAACCGGUUAUGACAACGCUGUUGCAUUGCCAGC
rnacentral:lncRNA from 1 species